ACGAACGCUGGCGGCGUGCUUAACACAUGCCAGUCGAACGGAAAGGCCCUGCUUUUGUGGGGUGCUCGCGUGGCGAACGGGUGAGUAAAACGUGAGUAACCUGCCCUUGACUUUGGGGUAAAUUUAGGAAAAUGGGGCUAAUACCGGGUAGGAGCUCCUGCUGCAUGGUGGGGGUUGGAAAGUUUCGGCGGUUGGGGAUGGACUCGCGGCUUAUCAGCUUGUUGGUGGGGUAGUGGCUUACCAAGGCUUUGACGGGUAGCCGGCCUGAGAGGGUGACCGGCCACAUUGGGACUGAGAUACGGCCCAGACUCCUACGGGAGGCAGCAGUGGGGAAUAUUGCACAAUGGGCGGAAGCCUGAUGCAGCAACGCCGCGUGCGGGAUGACGGCCUUCGGGUUGUAAACCGCUUUCGCCUGUGACGAAGCGUGAGUGACGGUAAUGGGUAAAGAAGCACCGGCUAACUACGUG
rnacentral:rRNA from 1 species